GGGGACUUGGAUCCUACCUGAUCCGAGGUCACCUGGUUAAAAGAUUGGUUGCGAGGCUAGCUGCCAGCUGGACCUACGGGAGCGGGUGACAAAGCCCCAUACGCUCGAGGACCAGACAUGGUGCCGCCACUGCCUUUUGGGCCCGUCCCCGUUGCCAGGGACGGAAGCCCAACACACAAGCCGUGCUUGAGGGCAGCAAUGACGCUCGGACAGGCAUGCCCCCCGGAAUACCAGGGGGCGCAAUGUGCGUUCAAAGACUCGAUGAUUCACUGAAUUCUGCAAUUCACAUUAAUUAUCGCAUUUCGCUGCGUUCUUCAUCGAUGCCGGAACCAAGAGAUCCGUUGUUGAAAGUUUUAACGAUUGUUUAACUAAAAACUCAGACUGCAAACUUCAGACAGCGUUCAAAUGUUAGUCUCCGGCGGGCCGUGGCCACGCCGAAGCAACAGGGGACAGAUAGACACGGAUGGGAGGGUGGACCCCAAAGGGCCGGGAUCCCGGAUGAACUUUAGCAAAGGACACCCCGGAAAAAGUUUUUUUUUUGGGUCCAACUCUAUCCGGUUUUAUCUGUACCUGUAAACUACUGAGUGAUCAUAAACCACCAAAACAAACAUUUUAA
rnacentral:misc_RNA from 1 species